rnacentral:rRNA from 1 species
CAGCCCUUGACAUCCCGGUCGCGGACUCCAGAGAUGGAGUUCUUCAGUUCGGCUGGACCGGAGACAGGUGCUGCAUGGCUGUCGUCAGCUCGUGUCGUGAGAUGUUGGGUUAAGUCCCGCAACGAGCGCAACCCCCGUCCUUAGUUGCUACCAUUUAGUUGAGCACUCUAAGGAGACUGCCGGUGAUAAGCCGCGAGGAAGGUGGGGAUGACGUCAAGUCCUCAUGGCCCUUACGGGCUGGGCUACACACGUGCUACAAUGGCGGUGACAAUGGGACGCUAAGGGGCGACCCUUCGCAAAUCUCAAAAAGCCGUCUCAGUUCGGAUUGGGCUCUGCAACUCGAGCCCAUAAAGUUGGAAUCGCUAGUAAUCGUGGAUCAGC